CAGCCUAGUGGACAAGGCACCUGCCCGGUAAGCAGAAGGUUGUGGGUUCGAUUCCCGCCCCUGGA
rnacentral:tRNA from 1 species